rnacentral:miRNA from 1 species
UUUGUCGACAUGUCAGGAAAGCGC